ACGAACGCUGGCGGCACGCUUAAAACAUGCAAGUCGAACGUGAAGCCCGGGCUUGCCCGGGUGGAAAGUGGCGAACGGGUGCGUAACACGUGAGCAACCUGCCCCGAAGACCGGGAUAACACCGGGAAACCGGUGCUAAUACCGGAUACCUUCACCAUGUCGCAUGGCGCGGUGAAGAAAUGGAUUCCGCUUCGGGAUGGGCUCGCGGCCUAUCAGCUUGUGGUGGGUAACGCCUA
rnacentral:rRNA from 1 species